GGUCCGCAGUCCACCGAGGCAUCGCCACCCGAAAGGGAACGCUAAACCUGU
rnacentral:ncRNA from 1 species